rfam:Triticum aestivum genome assembly, contig: Triticum_aestivum_CS42_TGACv1_scaffold_691238_T_2DL-0.044778_3DL-0.034756
GCCACCAUGGUGAAAUUGGUAGACACGCUGCUCUUAGGAAGCAGUGCUCAAGCAUCUCAGUUCGAAUCCGAGUGGCGGCA